CCUACGGGUGGCAGCAGUGAGGAAUAUUGGUCAAUGGACGCAAGUCUGAACCAGCCAUGCCGCGUGCAGGAAGACGGCCCUAUGAGUUGUAAACUUCUUUUGUACGGGGGUAAAAGCAGACACGUGUGUCUUUUUGUAUGUAUCGUACGAAUAAGGAUCGGCUAACUCCGUGCCAGCAGCCGCGGUAAUACGGAGGAUUCAAGCGUUAUCCGGAUUUAUUUGGUUUAAAGGGUGCGUAGGUGGUAGGUUAAGUUAGUGGGGAAAGCUUGAGGCUCAACCUCGGAAUUGCCUUUGAAACUGGGAGUCUUGAGAGGAGUAGCGGUAGGCGGAAUGCGUGGUGUAGCGGUGAAAUGCUGAGAGAUCACGCAGAACACCGAUUGCGAAGGCAGCUUACC
rnacentral:rRNA from 1 species